rnacentral:tRNA from 1 species
GUAGCUCAGUGGUAGAGCGCUUGCUUGCCUAGCGUGCAUGAAAUCCUGGGUUCUGUUCCCAGC